CCUGAAGUGUACGUAUUGGUAGGUAACCUAAGCAUAGGACCAGUUGACUGCAUCACGGAAGGAAGUGCAGGUGUCAUAUAUGGAGAUGAGUUUAUUUCUGGGUAUGAUCCAGUCUGCAUGACUCUCGUGUCUGUUAACAUUAUCUCAGGACGACCUGUACAUGAACUCACUGUAAGUGGAACAGUAUAUGAGCUCACAGGUAAAACUGUUGUGUGAUGAGCUGGUCUACGUACGCUUAUGUGAUCACGCUCUGACAUAAUUGUGCAGGCUUCGGUAUCUGGCUGAUUAACUGUGCUCACAGCCACUGAGACUGUACUUGAGACGGCAUUUGUACAUGAAAUUGACCCAUCGCCCGUAGUAUAGGCAGAUUUACUCACAAGUACAUUACUUGCGUUUGAGUUAUCUGGUAUACACGUAGGUGCUGACUUUCUUACAUUGAAUGAUGUUUCCAAAUUGUAUCCUUGGCUCUCUUGAUCGAUAGUUUUACAUACAGUAUCUAUUUCUGUUGCAGAAUCAACGGGUGAACGAGAAAUUCGUGACGCAGAUCUGGACUCCUGUAAAGCACGUCUGUUUCGUUUGCUCUUCCGACCAGCCAUUUGGAUGAUUUUAGAUUUCUUUGUUUUAACGAAUUAAUAAAUUUUUGUUUCUCAAACACC
rnacentral:sRNA from 1 species